rnacentral:lncRNA from 1 species
GUGUCAAUUUCUUCUUCAUGAAGGUGUAGAUAGAAAGUAAGAAAAUAAGCAGACACUUAUUAAUUUUCUCUCUUGCGGCACCGUGUCUUGCACUUGUGACAUAUUUUGGAAUUGGAAAAGUAAUGUGAGUGAGUAAUGAAAAAAUGUUCCUGCUGAUGCACAAAAGCGUAACCAUAUACUGUUAUAUCUAAACAUUUAUGAUACUUGCUCUACAGAAUGACAUAAUUUAGAGCAAAUACUUAAAUAAAAUGUAUAUCCAAACUGUCGAGACGCAAUCUCUGCAAUAUACAAUUGUUGUAAAUAUAUGUAUGCAAAGCAUAUAAUGGUGCAAGUUGGAAAAAAAUGCUUUACGAUUUAGAACAGAUGCAUUAGAAGCAAUUGUACUAAUUAUUUAACGAGACAUUCAGAACUGCCGCGCAAGACUGCACGCGCCAAUCAGGCGCGAGAACGGACGCGGACGCGCGAAGACUCCCAAUCAGGAGCGAGGACUGCCGUGCGUGCGCGAAGACGUCCAAUCAGGCGCGAGAACUGCCGCGCGCGCCGCCAAGACUCCCAAUCAGGCGCGAGGCCUGCCGCGGACGCGCGAAGACGUCCAAUCAGGCGCGAGAACUGCCGCUCAUGCGUGAAAGCUCCC